AGUGAACGCUGGCGGCAGGCCUAACACAUGCAAGUCGAACGGCAGCACAGUAAGAGCUUGCUCUUACGGGUGGCGAGUGGCGGACGGGUGAGGAAUACAUCGGAAUCUACUUUUUCGUGGGGGAUAACGUAGGGAAACUUACGCUAAUACCGCAUACGACCUACGGGUGAAAGAAGGGGAUCUUCGGACCUUGCGCGAUUGAAUGGGCCGAUGUCGGAUUAGCUAGUUGGCGGGGUAAAGGCCCACCAAGGCGACGAUCCGUAGCUGGUCUGAGAGGAUGAUCAGCCACACUGGAACUGAGACACGGUCCAGACUCCUACGGGAGGCAGCAGUGGGGAAUAUUGGACAAUGGGCGCAAGCCUGAUCCAGCCAUACCGCGUGGGUGAAGAAGGCCUUCGGGUUGUAAAGCCCUUUUGUUGGGAAAGAAAAGCAGCAGGUUAAUACCCCGCUGUUCUGACGGUACCCAAAGAAUAAGCACCGGCUAACUUCGUG
rnacentral:rRNA from 1 species